rnacentral:rRNA from 1 species
CCCUUAGAUGUCCGGGGCCGCACGCGCGCUACACUGAAGGAAUCAGCGUGGCAUUCUCCCUGACCCGAAAGGGUUGGGAAACCCGUUGAAUCUCCUUCGUGAUAGGGAUUGGGGCUUGAAAUUGUUCCCCAUGAACGAGGAAUUCCCAGUAAGCGCGAGUCAUAAGCUCGCGUUGAUUACGUCCCUGCCCUUUGUACACACCGCCCGUCGCUACUACCGAUUGAACGGUUUAGUGAGGGCCUCGGAUUGGUCUCGGCCCGCUCUUUACCGGGCGGCGCCGUUGGUCGAGAAGACGCUCGAACUUGAUCGUUUAGAGGAAGUAAAAGUCGUAACA